AGAUUCGAGUUACAAAAUGGCCGCCCGGAGCGUGUUCGGCGCGGUUCCCCCAGCUGUCUCUGGCUGAACCGGCGCUCUCGCCUCCCUGCCGAACACAGCGUGAGGAGCCCCCCCAGGGAUAUGGUGUUUGAGUCUCUGGGCUUGCCGAGCACUAAGUCCUCUGAGUUCCGCAGCGCAGCACCGGAAGCGGCCGAGCGCGCUCAGCCCGGCGACCCCUGCGGGCUCCAGACCCCUGCGCCGCUGCGCCCCGGGUUUCGCCGCAACCAAGACCCAGCGAGUGCAGCGGCGGCCGCCGAGGAGGUUCGAAAACAUGGCCAAAAGAAAUGCCGAGAAGGAACUGACAGAUAGGAAUUGGGAUCAAGAAGAUGAAGCUGAAGAGGGUAAAAGAAGGGCUAUAAACUAAAGCCGAAGAUAUUCAGCAGCUUUCUGACGUGGACAUCAGAAGUGUGGACAUGAGUGUGCUUUGAGCGCACUGUGGAAGAGCAGUGGUUGUCCAGCAAGGUCCUAGGUGCCUCCGUGGCCUUUCGUACAGUGGGCAAGUUGGGUGGGAACAUUCUCCAUGGCCAGUGAGGAAGUCUUGAAGA
rnacentral:lncRNA from 1 species